GAAGGUAAAAAGGUCCUACAUUGUUGUGUCAGAUGAAGGAACAUGCCAUGUCCUUUUAUAGCUCAGAAAAAAUGCACAAAUAAACAGUUGGUAUUACAUGAUUUCCAUCGACUUUGUUGGGAUUUGCUUCUUUUCAUGAUUUUACAAGUCGACAAACAAUGAUUAUGUGCUCAAGGAACUUGAAAACAUGAAGGAACAACGGCUUGCACAUAUAAAUAUGCUAUGCCAUACUAGAUAUGCAUAAAUGUCACCACAAAGAAAUCAACUAUUUCUAUUGCAAAAGCAAGCUAAAAGAGCUAAAUCAAAAAGGCGGUGUCUCUUGUAGAAUUCAAAUAAUACACUAUCUUUGUCACAAGUUCAGAGUCAUGACAAAAAUCAAAGUGUGGUUUGAACUUCUGAUCCUUCAUCAGCUAGAGAUAAAGAUACACUGCAUAUGAAAAAUGGAGUCUUGAUUCUCAAAGUAAAAUUGAAAUUGGCUUCACGACAAAACUCAUAAAGAUCUUGAUAAUUCACAGUCUCAGUUGCGAAGAGCAAAAAAUAUAACUAUUUUGUAAAUUUAACAUCGCUUGCAAUUCGAUCCGUGAGAUACUGGCUUGCUGUUAACCUACCCAAUGUCCAUGUUAUCGUGCACAUUAUAGACAAAUAAAAGGUGCUCAUACUUUGAUCAUUAGAAAUUAUAGGUAUCUACACAUCUGGCGCUAAAAGAGUUUUGCAUCUCAAGCGUGGUUGCACUUCUCUUCACAUGUGACUUCCCACAGGGGAUCAUUGCCCUUUGAUGAAAAACAAUGGUGCUUGAGGAUUAUUUGUGUGUUAGUGGAGUCAUCCUUUCAAUCUUCUUAAUUUUUUUCAUUUUCUAGGGAGCUAUGCUUCAAUACGUUGAGAGCUUGAUCUCUAAAACUCCAAGAAGUUUGAUCUACAAUGAUUGAUUUCAACUUUAUCACUGGACUGUAAAUUGCAAGGGAGGAUAACUUUACAAGUUGCAUCUAAGACCCUUAACUAUUGGAUGGACAAUUUUAUUAGUCAGUGUUAGGUUAAUUUUGUUCCAAUGAAGGUAUUCUUAAGGGUAAACUUUUAUGUACUUAGUU